AGUGAACGCUGGCGGUAGGCCUAACACAUGCAAGUCGAACGGCAGCACAGUAAGAGCUUGCUCUUACGGGUGGCGAGUGGCGGACGGGUGAGGAAUACAUCGGAAUCUACUUUUUCGUGGGGGAUAACGUAGGGAAACUUACGCUAAUACCGCAUACGACCUACGGGUGAAAGCAGGGGAUCUUCGGACCUUGCGCGAUUGAAUGAGCCGAUGUCGGAUUAGCUAGUUGGCGGGGUAAAGGCCCACCAAGGCGACGAUCCGUAGCUGGUCUGAGAGGAUGAUCAGCCACACGGGAACUGAGACACGGUCCAGACUCCUACGGGAGGCAGCAGGGGGGAAUAUUGGACAAUGGGCGGAAGCCUGACCCAGCCAUCCCGGGUGGGUGAAGAAGGCCUUCGGGUGGUAAAGCCCUUUUGUUGGGAAAAAAAAGCAGCAGGUUAAUACCCCGCUGUUCUGACGGUACCAAAAGAAAAAGCACCGACUAACUUCGG
rnacentral:rRNA from 1 species